CAGCGACAGUGCUUCAAUAAUGCAAAAC
rnacentral:sRNA from 1 species